UGUGACUCCUGUGACAUUGUCAGUAUGAGAGGAGGUAGUGUGAGGUGUGUAGCAGGCCUGCUGGUCCAGCUUGUAUCUCUCUAAUCUCAGUGGCAUCCUCUCUUCAUCCAGUGCUGCCCUGGGGCCUCCCUCCCGUCUCUGCAAGGCCUCCUUUCUCCGGGCCUUUCACCAGGCGGCCAGGGCUGUGGGGAAGCCCUACCUUCUGGCCUUGAAGACCUACGAGGCUGCCAAGGCUGGGCCCUACCAGGAGGCUCGCCGGCAGCUGUCUCUCCUCCUGGACCAGCAGGGCCUGGGGGCUUGGCCCUCAAAGCCACUGGUGGGCAAAUUCAGAAACUGAAGCCGGCCUCGGCGGGACCAAGGUCCCGGAGCCAAGCCAUACCCCUGCUGGGGGAGUGCCCUAUCUGAGGAGCGCUGUGGGGAGAACAUGGGUUGUGCAGGGUGAAACUGGGGCUGGAGGGAAGGAGGAGCCUGCUGUGGUUGGGAGGCUGCUGCUGCACGUUUGGGCUUGAAUAAAUAAGUAUUUCUGGUUCC
rnacentral:sRNA from 1 species